UCUCUCUCUCUCUCUCUCUCUCUCUCAAAAGUACAUAAACAUUUAAAAAAUUUUUAAAAAAAUUUUAAGUAUCAGCUGAGAGUAUCUAAAAAGAGAGAGAAUAAAUCACAACACAACUAUACUUACAAUGAAGAACAUAUAAGCAUUUAUAAUUAUUUUGAUUUGAUAUUCAAUUCAUAACUGAUAUCUGUUAUUGUUUUAUAUAUGUGUGUGUGUAUAUAUAUACACAUACAUACUUUGAAAAUACCAUGCAAUAAAAGACUUAUUAUCUGAUGCUGUGCAGAGCUGAUAUUCCUGGCAAUUGUAGGUUUAAAAUGAUUUUACUGUUUUUCUAAUAUCAAUAGAGAAUCUCAGCAUUCUUUUCCUCUUUUGCACAAAUAAUUGAAAAGAAUAUAUGAUGUUCUAUGAAAAUAAAAAGGCUUUAAGAAUUCUAAAGUUCAAGAUUUUCUCGAGGGCAUCUGACCUGAAUCACACACUGGAAUUACUGUAGGUCUCAUCAUCUUCACACUUCCUGGAUGAUGCCUUGAGACACAAUCCUUCGGCCCAGAAUUUCUUCAAGAGGCAGGGCACGGAUUGGCAAAAGGAGUCAGAAUCCAGGAAGAGCCAUUAAUACCACAUUUCUUGUUAGCCAUUUUGGUCCUGAUAGGAAGAACAGUCUCACAGAUCACCUUACGAAAAGAGGGAGGGUAGAAAAGAGGUAGAUGUUAACACUUCUUUCUUUUUGACAACAGUAAUAAUAAGCCUCCGUUCUGGUGUUAAAAGUGUGCCAUCAGUUCUCUCACUUCACAAGUACUUUUUGAGCAUUUGCAUUGUGGCACACACUCCUCUGGGCACAGACUGUAAAGCAAGGUACGAAAUAAAUCAGAAGUCGCUAGCCCCGUGGAAUUUACGUACUAGUGGCUGAGGAAGAAAACAUACAAGACAGUAAGUUAGGAGGUGAUCAUCAUCAUGGAGAAACCUCACAGCAAUUACCAUGAAGUCCAGCAAAAUAACGUGAGACCUCAUCACUAAAUAAGAAUUUGUAUGUACUUGCACCCACAAGUUAGUGUCCACGCAUGCAUACACAUGUGUUGGUGGGCGGGGCAGGAAAUUGCCACAGUGGUACAUAACCAAACUAGGCUGAUUCUUAUAAGUGUAUUAACAUACAUUAACCUGGAAAGUAAAUUUAGGUAAAGGAAGUGCAGUACUCCUACAUAGUAUCAAUCAUGAUUAUUGUUUUAUUCCUUUUUCUAAGGUGGCUUGGGAUCAGCGUCAACUUUCUGGAUAUCAACAAGGAAAUUGAUUUUGAAUUAUAAAGAACUGGGAAGUAACAGCCCUUCACAGAGAAACUGGAAGGGAAUUGCUAUUGUCCUGCUGGUGAUUUUAGUUGUAUGCUCACUCAUCAGUAUGUCAGUCAUCCUCUUAACCCCAGGAGGUUGUUUUGGUUGACAUAUAUGAAGAAUCGGGUCGCUCCCUCUGGUCGGCGUGAGGCUGUCGUCUUUGGAGGGACGUGGAAUCCCCUCAUCGGUUUUGGAGGGACGUGGAAUCCCCUCAAAGGUCUAAGCUUUCAGUUUUGCUUCCAUGGAGUUGGAAGACUUUCUAGGGGCCCUCUGUUUGUCUGUUUU